rfam:Roseburia intestinalis XB6B4 draft genome.
UUUGGAAGGAAAUUAGAAACUCUUAGGAUGCCUGUUCGCAACAUAGUGUUGUGCUGCCAUGGACGGCAGCACAAGUCCUAAUGUGCCCGGAUGGCGCAUUUAGGACGUACACGUCACUCCGCCCCAACCUGAAUCAGGCAUGCUUAGAGUUUCUUAUUUUCGGACAAC